GACCCGGUGGUGAAAAUGUAUCACACCCACUCCCUGUAAUUGUUCCAAUUGAUCGAAAGUGGGAGUCCCUUGUUCGAACCAAGGCUGGGUCA